AGUGAACGCUGGCGGUAGGCCUAACACAUGCAAGUCGAACGGCCUCACAGUAAUAGCUUGCUCUUACGGGUGUCGAGUGGCGGACGGGUGAGGAAUACAUCGGAAUCUACUUUUUCGUGUGUGCUAACGUAGGAUAACUUCUGCUAAUACCACAUACGACCUACGGGUGACAGCAGGCGUUCUUCGAGCCUUUUGCGAUUGUAUGAGCCGAUGUCGGAUUCGCUCAUUGGCGGGGUAAAGGCCCACGCAGGCGACGAUCCGUAGCUGGCCCGACAGGAUGAUUCGCCAGACUGGAAGUGAGAAAGGGUCCAGACUCCUACGGGAGGCAGCAGUGGGGAAUAUUGGGCGAUGGGCGAAAGGCGGAUCCAGCCAUACCGCGUGAGUGAUGAAGGCGUUCGGGUUGGAAAACGAUGUUGUUGGGAAAGAAAAGAAGUAGUUUAAUCCCCGGCUGUUAUGACGGUACCCAAAGAAGAAGCACCGGCUAACUUCGUG
rnacentral:rRNA from 1 species